rnacentral:lncRNA from 1 species
UGUCUCCAUGGGAACAGCAUGAGAGAACAAAAUGAGGAACAAAGUUAAUAUUUAUAGCCCAUGCCUGCUGAUUUUCUGUGCUGGCUUUAUUCAUUAAGUGAUCUCAGGGCUGAGGUGAGUGCAGGAGUGUACGUCUCCCUUGGUAUCCAAAUCAUUUUUUUUUCCUUCUCUUUCCAACCCAUCCCUAAAAUGUCAAGCACAAAUAGUGAGGAUUAGCUAUGGAGCGUACUCUCCUUCCACUGUGCUUGGUAGACAGAACCCAGGCUUUGGGGCCCGGGUCUUUUGUAGAGACUCCUGUCUCUGCAAAAAUAAGCCCAAAGCCCAGGCUUUGGAGACAUGGAUUUAAAUCCCAGCUCUGGCACUAACCUACCUUAAUUGCUUCCAAUUCUCAAUUUCUUCAUCUCCAACAUAGGAAUAAUGAUACUUAACGCUACCAUUGGUUGUAAGGAUUUAAAAUGAUUCAUACAAAGUCCCCGAGUCUGGUGCAGGGAUGUCAGACUGGCCAAUUUCAUCAGCCAUGAGAGCCAAAGACUCAGAGGAUACACACACUCGUGUACAAAAGCCUCUGCCAGCCAGCAAAGCCUGUUUGUUUUGUCAUGACAACCCUUGUCACUUCCAUCUGGAGGGUGAGUGAUGACGUCAUUAUCAAGAGAGGAUGAGGGCACAGGCUGAGAACCUGUCUGAGCUGCAAGAUUACAGAGAAUUAUAUUUCACAGUCAAAUGAUUAUGACACAGAGAGAAGCCGUCAGUAUAUAUAAGGUGCUUAGGCUUUACAUAAACAAACAUGCACUGUCUUUGACAAGGAAACAACUGGGCUUGAAAAUUUCACAUGAAGAGCAAUAUCGAUGUGUAUGUGAUUUUAAGAGGGAGAGAAUGCGUGAAGCUACUUCAGUGUGCAGGCAGUUCUGUACUGGUGUUUAGUGAGACUAUAAAUGGCUCUCACGGUCUGGUGGUUCUUUUAAGUCUUGGGCACAAAGUUCGCCAUGGUCUAGUCAGCGAUCUGCUGACUAGAGAUGGAAACAAAUCGGAGGGUGCAUAGGAGACAGGCUGUCCCCAGGAGGUGGGUACAGCUAGCAUCAGGAUGGGGGUAGCAGCAGCCUGAUAUAAUCCAAACAGAGACCCUUUGAAGAAUAAAAGGGGAUGCUAUCAAUACUUGUUGCAGGAGAGCAGGCAUAACUGGGGACUGUUCUAAGCAAGCAGGGAUGUGAGGUCACUGCAUGUAAGUGAUGAAGAAAACCGUUUCCUGGUUCCCUCUUAAGAUAGCAGUGCUGAUGUUUUAGAACUAGAAGUGCUGCUGUGUGACAAAACACAGCUAAGAAGAAGACACUGGUCAUCUACAUGCAGAUUAAGAGAAAAUAGCAGGUGAGGGAUUCAUAUGUCACCUCAACAAAUUAGUCCUAGCCAAGGCUUCACACACACAUGACCACAGCAAGUGAGAGGCCUGAUUCCAAGAAUCAGCUGGGACAACUGUUAAAAUAUAGAAUCUCAGGCCAGAGGUGGUGGAUCAUGCCUGUAAUCCCAAAACUUUAGGAGGCCGAGGCAGGAGGAUCUCUUGAGCCAGGAGUUUGAGACCAGUCUGGGCAACACAGGGAGACUCCUGUCUCUACAAAAACACAAAAAUCUGCCAGUGUGGUGGUGCACACCUGUGGUCCCAGCUACUUGUGAGGCUGCAGUGAGCUCUGAUUGUGCCUGGGCGACAGAGCGAGACUCUGUCUCUAAAAAAAAAAUUAAGCAACAAUACAUAGACUCUCAAGUCCUCCCUUGCCACCAUACCAAACGAAUCACAGUCUCCAGAAAAGAAACCUUACAAUACAUCUUAUAGAAUCUUCGUGCCAAAAGCAGCAUUAGCAGUCAUCUAGGGAAAUUUGGUCUUCUUACAAACUAGUGUAACAGAGUGGCAGUUAGCCUGAGCAGUGCAUGAGAUGGGCCUUAAUUCACAGCCUCCCACUGCCCCUUAAUAAAUGUGUGUGGCCCUGGGUAAGGUGCUUAGCUCCCUGAGCCUCCUGGCUCUGUUGGGAGGAUGGUGUAGUGUUUAUAAACCGAUUUGGGCACUGUUUCCACAAAGACUAAGACUUCAAUAGACAGACACCAUUGUUACUGUUUGACCUGCUGAAUGUCAUAGCUCUGGUUUAUAGCACAGCUAUGACUAGAUUCCUUAAACUGUCAUAAUUGUUGUUAUAUUUUUUGUGUUAAUGGCAGGCAGAAGGAACAGAGAUCAUCCCAAACUUGUCUACAUAUGGUUUCUUAAAACCUUUGUAUUUUGAAGUAACUUCAAAUUCAUAAAAAAAUUAUUAGGAACAACACAAGGAAUCCCCAAAUAUCCUUUACACAAAUUUACCAGUUGUUAACUUUUUAUGUGUACCUCAUGUGCAUAUAUACACAUACAUAUAUGUUAUAUAUUAUAUGUAUAUUAUAUAUAUUCCCCCCUAAGUUAUUUGAGGAUUACAGACAUACCUUGAUACCCCUUAAUACUUCAGUCUUGUGUAUACCUAUGUAACAAACCUGCAUAUUCUGCACAUGUAUCCCAGAACUUAAAGUAAAAUUAAGGCCAGGAGCAGUGACU